GAUGAACGCUGGCGGCGUGCUUAACACAUGCAAGUCGAACGAUCAAGCCCAGCUUGCUGUGUGCUUUUGUGGCGAACGGGUGAGUAACACGUGAGUAACCUGCCCUUCACUCUGGGAUAAGCCUGUGCAACUGGGUCUAAUACCUGCUAGGUGCGUUCACCGCCUGGUUGGUUUUGGAAAGAUUUAUCGGUUUUGGAUGGACUCUCGGCCUAUCCGCUUGUUAGUGGGGUAUUGGCUCACGAAGGCGAAGACGGGUAGCCGGCCUGAGAGGGUGAACGGCGACACUGGGACUGAGACACGGACCAGACUCCUACGGGAGGCAGCAGUGGGGAAUAUUGCACAAUGGGCGCAAGCCUGAUGCAGAGACGCCGCGUGAGGGAUGACGGCCUUCGGGUUGUAAACCUCUUUCAGUAGGGAAGAAGCGAAAGUGACGGUACCUGCAGAAGAAGCACCGGCUAACUACGUG
rnacentral:rRNA from 1 species